UCUUCUUCUUGUAGUUCCUCGCGCGUGACACAUUCACACGGUUGCAAUGCCUGCAAACACAACAGUUCCAUGAUACGUGAAGAAUAUACAUUGUAUUGCACGGUUUGAUUCUGUUUGCAGCUGAAGUUGUUCCGAGAGUCCGCUGGCAACACAAAGUGUCCUUGCAGCACAGUUCCUCGAGAGUUCCUGUACUAUAACUGCGGAACAUGCUUAGACGAAGAUCAAUGCUUCCACUGGAAGACACUGCUGAGGCCUGCGACUAGACUGUGCGUCACAGUCGCAGGUUUCCUUGCUCAGACUUACCUGCCGACUACAGGGUACUGAUGGUGAUUUUCGGAAGCGGCGGCGGAGAAAGCGUUUCCUGCGGCGGAAGCCUCGCUUCAACCAGGGGUUCCGCAGCCUGUUCUUCCUUGUGUGGAGAUGCAGACUGUACGAGGGACACAAUCUUUGCAGUCUUCUCUGUCCCAACUGCUUGUUCUUCAGGUUCCUUCUGUAACUCUUCGGGGGCUUCGUCUUCGACAAUGACCAGUUCCUCUGAGGGAAGCUCUACAGCUUGCACUGCUGGCCGUUUUGGAGGUCUCGCGGAGAUUCGAAAGAACAGCCGGAGUGGGCUCUCCUGCAUGUCGCGUCUACACCAUUCACCUAUACGCCUACACGGGACUCUACUUUUCGGAAGACAAUGGAAACUCAUUCAAUGUUACUGGGACAGGCAGUUUCAUAAACCGAAACUAUGAGAGGUCAUCCGAAAUCAAGAAGGACAGCAAAACACACUUGUUUUUACUCUGCUAUAGGGGCAAAUCUCGUUGAAAGCAAACAAGCAAGCAACAACAACAACAACAAGAAAUGAUUAAAAGGUGAUGAUGACAUGGGAUGUUUCUCCGCGGCAACAAAGCCAAGCAAAGCAAGCAAAGCGACCAUGCAGUUACUUAUUUUGUAUGAAAUUCAUUUAAUUUAAUCGUACUUUAUAGCGUAUAUAUACGGAGCUCGAUAGGGAAUCUCUCGCGCGCGAUCUCUUUGGUGAAACCAGGCCUAUAUACGUCGCUGAUUUAAAUAUCCCCUGACCAUCUAUUUUACUUUUAAUGAGUUCGGGGUAAUGAGUUCGGAGAUCGUGUAAUCGCACUUUAGAAUUACAAUACCUUCGAAACCUUCGCCGUCUCAGAUUAGCGCUAGGGUCAUAGACGAGCUUUUUAAUUCCUAAGACAAUACAGCAAGUUUAUGAUGACACAUGUUUAAACAACCCCGCUUUGCCUAAGCAUUUUAGGCUAUGUUUGUACAACGCGGCUGGAUGUGUUUUUAUCCGAACCGGUCCAGUUCUGCUUGUGUUGCGUCUGCACGACAGCAUACCGCCUUAGCACUUGACCCCUACAGCUUCGCUGCUAUUUCUUUCUCAACAGUGCACGGUAAGCAAAGAUUCGCGAGUCAACCAUAUAUAUGAAAAAAGAAAGACGUAUUUUGGUCCUCUUUAGGGACUAUAUACAGGUGCACUGCCAAACCAGUCCAGUUUGGAACUAAAUGCAUAAGCUUAUGCGAAGAUUAGGGAUUAUUUGCAGUGCCGCCGGGGGACUAAACAUCGGUGUCGGUGGACUAAAUUGGAAAGUAACUUCUGUCGAAGCUGCAACUGUUCCCCAAUUUAUAUAGUGCACGUACGACCGCUCGUCCCUCCUAUAUUCUCGCGCUGUUCGAGCACACGCUCUAUAGGUUAGGUAGGUUAGGUUGGGUUGGGUUAGGUGUACAGGAAGAAACAUAUUUAGAUGUUGGCACCUUCAACCAUUUAGUCCGCUAUACGGCGCUAACCCAAAUCACUUGUAUGCGAAAGUAAAUAAGCUGUGCAUAAAUUACACGCGCUCUUCCGUCUUGCUCUGGAUGAAAUCUUGAUGAUUGAUUGAUUAUUUAAAAGAUGAAAUCUUAUUAACCACUUGCACACUUACUGGCUUGCAAACAGGACAUGAGUUAGAAGAGCAUUUGAUCUGUUCUUCAGUGUAUAUAGUAUUCAAGACCUGGGGAGUCUUUUGCGGGACCGUCCAACUCCGAGGGCGGUUUGUCCUCGCUAACCGGAGGGGGGGGGGGGGGAUGGCCCCGUGCCAACAGCCUCAUUCCCGCGUGAAUCCUGAUG